AUUGAACGCUAGCGGGAUCCCUACACAUGCAAGUCGAACGGCAGCGCGGAUUCGGUCUGGCGGCGAGUGGCGAACGGGUGAGUAAUGUAUCGGAACGUGCCUAGUAGCGGGGGAUAACUACUUCGAAAGAGUAGUAAUACCGCAUACSCCCUACGGGGGAAAGGGGGGGAUCGCAAGACCCUCUCACUAUUAGAGCGGCCGAUAUCGGAUUAGCUAGUUGGUGAGGUAAAGGCUCACCAAGGCGACGAUCCGUAGCUGGUUUGAGAGGACGACCAGCCACACUGGGACUGAGACACGGCCCAGACUCCUACGGGAGGCAGCAGUGGGGAAUUUUGGACAAUGGGGGAAACCCUGAUCCAGCCAUUCCGCGUGUGCGAUGAAGGCCUUCGGGUUGUAAAGCACUUUUGSCAGGAAAGAAAUCGCACGGGUUAAUAACUCGUGUGGAUGACGGUACCUGCAGAAUAAGCACCGGGUAAA
rnacentral:rRNA from 1 species